rnacentral:rRNA from 1 species
CGCUGGCGGCUGCCUAAUAAUGCAAGUCGAACGGAGUUAUUCGGACAGAAGCCUUCGGGUGGAAGACUGAAUAACUUAGUGGCGGACGGGCGAGUAACGCGGAGCAACCUGCCCUUCAGAGUGGAAUAACGUUUGGAAACGAACGCUAAUACCGCAUAACAUACCGUGGUGGCAUCGCUAUGGUAUCAAAGAUUUAUCGCUGAAGGAUGGGCUCGCGUCCGAUUAGAUAGUUGGUGGGGUAACGGCCUACCAAGUCGACGAUCGGUAGCCGAACUGAGAGGUUGAUCGGCCGCAUUGGGACUGAGACACGGCCCAGACUCCUACGGGAGGCAGCAGUAAGGAAUAUUGCACAAUGGGGGAAACCCUGAUGCAGCAAUGCCGCGUGAGGGAAGACGGUCUUCGGAUUGUAAACCUAAGUUGUCAGGGACGAAAAAAGACGGUACCUGAAGAGAAAGCUCCGGCUAACUACGUGCCAGCAGCCGCGGUAAUACGUAGGGAGCAAGCGUUGUCCGGAAUUACUGGGUGU